rnacentral:rRNA from 1 species
ACACGGACCAAGGAGUCUAAUGUGCGCCCGAGUCGCGGGGUGCAGAGCGGCAGUUGUGUUUCGGAACCACCGUCGUUCGCUAUCACGGUUUCCCGUACCGUUCAUUCGGAAGGGGCAAUGAAACUGACUUGGGGAAAAUGGCGUUACCGAUUUCACGUUUCCCGACUCGAUCGCGACCGGUCGCCCGCAUUCCCAGGGCGUCCCAACGGCUCGGCCGCCUUGCGGAUCGGACUUCCUUCGGGAGCGGCGGUCGGGCGUCGUCCGUCCCGGGCGCACCUACCUCGUGCACGUUGGUACCCCAAAUAUGGUUAACUUGGCCCGUCCAAGAGAACGUCACGGGUUACCCUGAUGGACGUACGCAGCGAUUCUCACGUGCCAAUCGCCGCUCUGAACUGCGUAUCUCGGCGAAACACUAAUCUCACCAUCCCGUGU